rnacentral:rRNA from 1 species
AUUGAACGCUGGCGGCAGGACUAACACAUGCAAGUCGAACGAGUGGCGGACGGGUGAGUAAUGUCUGGGAAACUGCCCGAUGGAGGGGGAUAACUACUGGAAACGGUAGCUAAUACCGCAUACCAACGGAUGUGCCCAGAUGGGAUUAGCUAGUAGGUGGGGUAACGGCUCACCUAGGCGACGAUCCCUAGCUGGUCUGAGAGGAUGACCAGCCGCACUAGAACUGAGACACGGUCCAGACUCCUACGGAAGGCAGCAGUAGGGGAUAUUGCACAAUGGGCGCAAGCCUGAUGCAGCCAUGCCGCGUGUAUGAAGAAGGCCUUCGGGUUGUAAAGUACUUUCAGCGAGGAGGCGUUACUCGCAGAAGAAGCACCAGCUAACUCCGUGCCAGCAGCCGCGGUAAUAC